GACGAACGCUGGCGGCGUGCCUAAUACAUGCAAGUUGAGCGCUGAAGGUUGGUACUUGUACCAACUGGAUGAGCAGCGAACGGGUGAGUAACGCGUGGGGAAUCUGCCUUUGAGCGGGGGACAACAUUUGGAAACGAAUGCUAAUACCGCAUAAAAACUUUAAACACAAGUUUUAAGUUUGAAAGAUGCAAUUGCAUCACUCAAAGAUGAUCCCGCGUUGUAUUAGCUAGUUGGUGAGGUAAAGGCUCACCAAGGCGAUGAUACAUAGCCGACCUGAGAGGGUGAUCGGCCGCAUUGGGACUGAGACACGGCCCAAACUCCUACGGGAGGCAGCAGUAGGGAAUCUUCGGCAAUGGACGAAAGUCUGACCGAGCAACACCGCGUGAGUGAAGAAGGUUUUCGGAUCGUAAAACUCUGUUGGUAGAGAAGAACGUUGGUGAGAGUGGAAAGCUCAUCAAGUGACGGUAACUACCCAGAAAGGGACGGCUAACUACGUG
rnacentral:rRNA from 1 species